GAAUUUAAGCAUAUCACUAAGCGGAGGAAAAGAAACUAACAUGGAUUCCCGUAGUAACGGCGAGUGAAGUGGGAAUAGCUCAGCACCGAAUCUCCUGCCUUUGAGGUAGCGGGACCUGUGGUGUUUAGGACAGCCUCUGGGGCUCAACUGUCGCGUCCGAGUCCUCCUGAUCGGGGCCUUUCCCAUAGCGGGUGUCAGGCCUCUACUGGCGCGCGGUCGUGUCCCUUUGAGCGUCCUCGGAGUCGGGUUGUUUGGGAAUGCAGCCCUAAGCGGGUGGUAAACUCCAUCUAAGGCUAAAUACCGACACGAGUCCGAUAGCGGACAAGUACCGUGAGGGAAAGUU
rnacentral:rRNA from 1 species